GACACACUAUCAUUAACUGAAUCCAUAGGUUAAUGAGGCGAACCGGGGGAACUGAAACAUCUAAGUACCCCGAGGAAAAGAAAUCAACCGAGAUUCCCCCAGUAGCGGCGAGCGAACGGGGAGCAGCCCAGAGCCUGAAUCAGUGUGUGUGUUAGUGGAAGCGUCUGGAAAGGCGCGCGAUACAGGGUGACAGCCCCGUACACAAAAAUGCACAUGCUGUGAGCUCGAUGAGUAGGGCGGGACACGUGGUAUCCUGUCUGAAUAUGGGGGGACCAUCCUCCAAGGCUAAAUACUCCUGACUGACCGAUAGUGAACCAGUACCGUGAGGGAAAGGCGAAAAGAACCCCGGCGAGGGGAGUGAAAAAGAACCUGAAACCGUGUACGUACAAGCAGUGGGAGCACGCUUAGGCGUGUGACUGCGUACCUUUUGUAUAAUGGGUCAGCGACUUAUAUUCUGUAGCAAGGUUAACCGAAUAGGGGAGCCGAAGGGAAACCGAGUCUUAACUGGGCGUUAAGUUGCAGGGUAUAGACCCGAAACCCGGUGAUCUAGCCAUGGGCAGGUUGAAGGUUGGGUAACACUAACUGGAGGACCGAACCGACUAAUGUUGAAAAAUUAGCGGAUGACUUGUGGCUGGGGGUGAAAGGCCAAUCAAACCGGGAGAUAGCUGGUUCUCCCCGAAAGCUAUUUAGGUAGCGCCUCGUGAAUUCAUCUCCGGGGGUAGAGCACUGUUUCGGCAAGGGGGUCAUCCCGACUUACCAACCCGAUGCAAACUGCGAAUACCGGAGAAUGUUAUCACGGGAGACACACGGCGGGUGCUAACGUCCGUCGUGAAGAGGGAAACAACCCAGACCGCCAGCUAAGGUCCCAAAGUCAUGGUUAAGUGGGAAACGAUGUGGGAAGGCCCAGACAGCCAGGAUGUUGGCUUAGAAGCAGCCAUCAUUUAAAGAAAGCGUAAUAGCUCACUGGUCGAGUCGGCCUGCGCGGAAGAUGUAACGGGGCUAAACCAUGCACCGAAGCUGCGGCAGCGACGCUUAUGCGUUGUUGGGUAGGGGAGCGUUCUGUAAGCCUGUGAAGGUGUGCUGUGAGGCAUGCUGGAGGUAUCAGAAGUGCGAAUGCUGACAUAAGUAACGAUAAAGCGGGUGAAAAGCCCGCUCGCCGGAAGACCAAGGGUUCCUGUCCAACGUUAAUCGGGGCAGGGUGAGUCGACCCCUAAGGCGAGGCCGAAAGGCGUAGUCGAUGGGAAACAGGUUAAUAUUCCUGUACUUGGUGUUACUGCGAAGGGGGGACGGAGAAGGCUAUGUUGGCCGGGCGACGGUUGUCCCGGUUUAAGCGUGUAGGCUGGUUUUCCAGGCAAAUCCGGAAAAUCAAGGCUGAGGCGUGAUGACGAGGCACUACGGUGCUGAAGCAACAAAUGCCCUGCUUCCAGGAAAAGCCUCUAAGCAUCAGGUAACAUCAAAUCGUACCCCAAACCGACACAGGUGGUCAGGUAGAGAAUACCAAGGCGCUUGAGAGAACUCGGGUGAAGGAACUAGGCAAAAUGGUGCCGUAACUUCGGGAGAAGGCACGCUGAUAUGUAGGUGAAGUCCCUCGCGGAUGGAGCUGAAAUCAGUCGAAGAUACCAGCUGGCUGCAACUGUUUAUUAAAAACACAGCACUGUGCAAACACGAAAGUGGACGUAUACGGUGUGACGCCUGCCCGGUGCCGGAAGGUUAAUUGAUGGGGUCAGCGCAAGCGAAGCUCUUGAUCGAAGCCCCGGUAAACGGCGGCCGUAACUAUAACGGUCCUAAGGUAGCGAAAUUCCUUGUCGGGUAAGUUCCGACCUGCACGAAUGGCGUAAUGAUGGCCAGGCUGUCUCCACCCGAGACUCAGUGAAAUUGAACUCGCUGUGAAGAUGCAGUGUACCCGCGGCAAGACGGAAAGACCCCGUGAACCUUUACUAUAGCUUGACACUGAACAUUGAGCCUUGAUGUGUAGGAUAGGUGGGAGGCUUAGAAGUGUGGACGCCAGUCUGCAUGGAGCCGACCUUGAAAUACCACCCUUUAAUGUUUGAUGUUCUAACGUUGACCCGUAAUCCGGGUUGCGGACAGUGUCUGGUGGGUAGUUUGACUGGGGCGGUCUCCUCCUAAAGAGUAACGGAGGAGCACGAAGGUUGGCUAAUCCUGGUCGGACAUCAGGAGGUUAGUGCAAUGGCAUAAGCCAGCUUGACUGCGAGCGUGACGGCGCGAGCAGGUGCGAAAGCAGGUCAUAGUGAUCCGGUGGUUCUGAAUGGAAGGGCCAUCGCUCAACGGAUAAAAGGUACUCCGGGGAUAACAGGCUGAUACCGCCCAAGAGUUCAUAUCGACGGCGGUGUUUGGCACCUCGAUGUCGGCUCAUCACAUCCUGGGGCUGAAGUAGGUCCCAAGGGUAUGGCUGUUCGCCAUUUAAAGUGGUACGCGAGCUGGGUUUAGAACGUCGUGAGACAGUUCGGUCCCUAUCUGCCGUGGGCGCUGGAGAACUGAGGGGGGCUGCUCCUAGUACGAGAGGACCGGAGUGGACGCAUCACUGGUGUUCGGGUUGUCAUGCCAAUGGCACUGCCCGGUAGCUAAAUGCGGAAGAGAUAAGUGCUGAAAGCAUCUAAGCACGAAACUUGCCCCGAGAUGAGUUCUCCCUGACUCCUUGAGAGUCCUGAAGGAACGUUGAAGACGACGACGUUGAUAGGCCGGGUGUGUAAGCGCAGCGAUGCGUUGAGCUAACCGGUACUAAUGAACCGUGAGGCUUAACCUUACAACGCCGAAG
rnacentral:rRNA from 1 species